rnacentral:rRNA from 1 species
GACGAACGCUGGCGGCGUGCUUAACACAUGCAAGUCGAACGGAGAAUUUAUUUCGGUAAAUUCUUAGUGGCGAACGGGUGAGUAACGCGUGGGCAACCUGCCCUUCAGAUGGGGACAACAUCCCGAAAGGGGUGCUAAUACCGAAUACGAUCACGCUGCCGCAUGGCGGUGUGAUGAAAGAUGGCCUCUAUUUAUAAGCUAUCGCUGAAGGAUGGGCCUGCGUCUGAUUAGCUAGUUGGUGGGGUAACGGCCUACCAAGGCGAUGAUCAGUAGCCGGUCUGAGAGGAUGAACGGCCACAUUGGGACUGAGACACGGCCCAAACUCCUACGGGAGGCAGCAGUGGGGAAUAUUCCGCAAUGGACGAAAGUCUGACGGAGCAACGCCGCGUGAGUGAUGAAGGUUUUCGGACUGUAAAACUCUGUUGUUUAGGACGAAAGUGCCUGUUGCAAAUAGUUGCAGGUAUUGACGGUACUGAACGAGGAAGCCACGGCUAACUACG